GUAUUUUGUUGAUUUUUCAGAAUGCCUACCAAUAGGAAAUUUCCACAAAUUUAUAAUCUGUGAGUUUAUUGUAUAAAAUCGGAGGGAAAUAAUUGUCAUGUUUCCUUGAGUCAAAUGAGUGAGAUUCCCUUAUGCUCUGAUGUGCUGCUUCUCCAAAACGUUAGAUUUAUUUUAUGCCAGAAUUAUUCCUUAAUUCAUAAGCUGUAUCCAUGGGUGGCAUUACAGUUUGUUUUACUGAACACCUACAUUGACUAUAUAUCUCUUUCCUUACUGUUUACGUAUUUGACCAUUAGAGUUUAUAUUCUAAAUACAAGCUGCACAUAAAUAAUCUUUUAUGGAAUUUUAUUUGCUAUUUUUAUAUUUCAUUUUAAAAAGGUAGAUGUGGCUUUUAUGGGAAAAGAUACUCUAGAUUUUUGAGUAUUACUUGACACUUCUAUUUCGAGAUAUCUGCAAUUAGGAGGCUUAAAGUAUUUUGGGGGGAAGUUGGGUCAGUAAUACCCACAGUUUCCUUAUGAAGAAAGUGGGAAGAAAAUUUCAGUGGAAUGUAUUCUGUCUUGAAGGAACAGAAAACUUGAAAGGAGACCUAGGUCACUGAUGAUGGGUCUAGGAACAGAAUUUAUCUCCAGUUUUCUAAUUGCUUCUUUUAA
rnacentral:lncRNA from 1 species